rnacentral:lncRNA from 1 species
UUCUGAGCAAGACAAUUGCAAUCUGCUUCAAGCUUUAGAGCUAAUGGUACCACCCACUGAGUCUCCUUUUGGACCUAUGAAUAGGGACAAUUCUCACAGUUUUAAAGUGGCCCCAUCAUGUCAAGCUACUAGACUGCCUGACUUUCUGGAUUAUAAGAUGUAAGAUGAAGUCAACUAUUUUCUUCCCAAGCUGCUUUAGUCAUUCUGGCUUAACAACAAAACCCAAGGCAGACUAAGAUGUCUUACGGAGACAGCUUUGUAAUCUGAAUCUUAACUCUGACCUUACUAGCUGUAUGGCCCAGAGCAAGCUUGUGUAACUUCCCUAAGGCAUGGUCAACUCUCUUCUCUGAGCAACAGAAAAUAAAUAAAAUUCCACAAAGGUAUUUAGGUUUAACUGGCUUAAGGAAAUGGAGGAACAAGAUGAACCAGAGAUCUGGCAAGAGGCAUCUAAUAGUACCAUCGAGGACAGUGGCUCCCUAC